UACGGAGGGUGCAAGCAUUAAUCGGAUUUAUUGGGCGUAAAGGGCGCGUAGGCGGUUUAGAAAGUCAGGUGUGAAAUUCCAAAGCUCAACUUUGGAGCUGCAUUUGAAACUCCUAGACUGGAGGGAUGGCGGAGAAAAUGGAAUUCCACGUGUAGCGGUGAAAUGCGUAGAUAUGUGGAAGAACACCGGUGGCGAAAGCGGUUUUCUAGCUAUUACCUGACGCUGAGGCGCGAGAGCAAGGGGAGCAAAC
rnacentral:rRNA from 1 species